GUCACACCAUGGGAGUGGGUUGCAAAAGAAGUAGGUAGCUUAACCUUCGGGAGGGCGCUUACCACUUUGUGAUUCAUGACUGGGGUGAAGUCGUAACAAGGUAACCGUAGGGGAACCUGCGGUUGGAUCACCUCCUUACCUUAAAGAUGC
rnacentral:rRNA from 1 species